UACGUAGGGGGCAAGCGUUGUCCGGAUUUAUUGGGCGUAAAGAGCGUGUAGGCGGCCGUACAGGUCAGCUGUGAAAACUCGAGGCUCAACCUCGAGACGUCGGUUGAAACCGUACGGCUAGAGUCCGGAAGAGGAGAGUGGAAUUCCCGGUGUAGCGGUGAAAUGCGCAGAUAUCGGGAAGAACACCCGUGGCGAAGGCGGCUCUCUGGGCCGAUACUGACGCUGAGGAGCGAAAGCGUGGGGAGCGAACAGG
rnacentral:rRNA from 1 species